rnacentral:rRNA from 1 species
AACGAACGCUGGCGGCAGGCCUAAAACAUGCAAGUCGAACGGGUGUAGCAAUACAUCAGUGGCGCACGGGUGAGUAACGCGUGGGAACAUGCCCCUUAGUACGGGACAACGUCGGGAAACUGACGCUAAUACCGUAUAAUAUCUCCGGAUCAAAGAUUUAUCGCUGAGGGAGUGGCCCGCGUCUGAUUAGCUAGUUGGUGAGGUAAUGGCUCACCAAGGCUACGAUCAGUAGCAGGUCUGAGAGGAUGAUCUGCCACACUGGGACUGAGACACGGCCCAGACGACUACGGGAGGCAGCGGUUAGGAAUAUUGGACAAUGGGGGAAACCCUGAUCCAGCCAUGCCGCGUGUGUGAUGAAGGCCCUAGGGUUGUAAAGCACUUUCGUUGGGGAUGAUAACGACCGUACCCAAAGAAGAAGCCACGGCUAAAUUCGUGCCAGCCGCCGCCGUAA